rnacentral:lncRNA from 1 species
GGGGUUGGGAAUGGGGACACUGCUGGGUACAGAGGGGACACCCAAAUCGAGGGGCUCACACUGUGUCCUUCAUCCCCCAUGGGACUGCCUGGUGGGGGUGGCUGCCCAGGGAUUGGGGUUCCUGCCCUGCCCUUGGUGGCUGUCACCCUUCUCAGGGUCCCCACUGGUGAUGGCUGUUCAGGGGUGUCUGGGGCUCAAGCCCUUCCCUCAGCUCAUGCAGGUCCCCUGUGUGGCUGGUUCCUGGUGGGGUCCCUGAUGUGUCCCCACCCUGCAGGGGCAGGAGAAGCUGAGCUGCAACCCCAAGAAGGAGAACGGGACCCACGUGGUGCUCUGCGAGCUGGGCAAUCCCAUGAAAGCAGGAGCCCGGAUCACCGUGGACUUGGAGCUGAGCGUGUCUGGGCUGGAGGACAUGGGGGAUGCCAUCACCUUCCACUUGCAGCUGCGCAGCAAGAACAGCCCCAGCCCCAGCCACGGCUCGGUGACGGUGACAGUGCCCGUGGAGGCAGAGGCAGAGAUGGAGCUGCGAGGCAACUCCCUGCCUGCCACCAUGGUGCUGCCCACGGGCUGGCACAGGGUGCGGGGCAGUCGGCGGAUCGAGGACCACGGCAUGAGGCUGGAGCACGUCUACGAGGUGAUUUCGGGGGAUGUCCCCUCUGUCCCCUCCCCGGAGCCAUCUCCUGUGCCUGGCAUCACCCACCGUCCUCCCGCAGCUCCACAACAAAGGUCCCGGCACCGUCAGCGGGGUCACCCUGAGCCUCGCCGUGCCCCAUCGGCUGGGGGAGCACGUCCUGCUCUACCUGCU